UACAGAGACUGCAAGCGUUAUUCGGAUUCACUGGGCGUAAAGGGUGCGCAGGCGGCCAAGUGUGUGAGGCGUGAAAGCCCGGGGCUUAACCCCGGAAUUGCACCUCAAACUACAUGGCUAGAGCAUUGGAGAGGGUAGCGGAAUUCACGGUGUAGCAGUGAAAUGCGUAGAUAUCGUGAGGAACACCAGAGGCGAAGGCGGCUACCUGGACAAUUGCUGACGCUCAGGCACGAAAGCGAGGGGAGCAAAAGGG
rnacentral:rRNA from 1 species